UAGUCAAAACUGUGAACAUAUGAUCGUGACGAGUGUAGCAACACAAAAAAAAAAUUUUGAAAUUAGAGUGUACAGAGCGCGCAAAAUUCAAAAAGUCUUACUUUUUGAUCACACCUCGUAUGUGUACGGUACAACGGAUACGAGACGAGUCUUUCUCUUUUCUCGUGCGCGUCUUUAAAUACUCUCGGUUCGACCAAAGGAUUUCGCCUAAUGAAGAUUUUAAAUUUUCUAAUUUUCCCGUGUACCGAAAGCUGCUGCCUAUUUGUCUUAAUUCUUAAAGCUUCUAUUUCUUUUCAUAUUUACAUCUCUCUAUUGUUUCGAACUGCCUAACAACACGUUUCUAUUCUCGAAUUUUCUUAUCUAUUAUCAUUUGUCGGUUGGGCUCGUGGCAAGGCAAUCGCCACAGUAGUAUGACAGAUUUUAUUUUUUAUUCAUAUGAUCGAAACAAAACUGAUGUCAAUUUAAAUAAGUAGACGAUGAACGUUUACAGAAGUGACUUAUAUUUGUAACCAUUCAUUCCAUCCACAUCGCAAUCACGAUUGUCUACUUGUUUAAAUUGACAUCAGUUUUGUUUCGAUCAUAUAAAUAAAAAUAAAAUCUGUCAUACUACAAUGCGGACGAGAGUAACCUACACAAUUGUAUUGCGUUAAUUUUGGAUUUGGACUUGACAAUUUGUACCCACGCUACUAUUAACCAUCAUAUGUGGAAUAGAAGAUUAAUUUACAUUAAAAAUGAUCCAAAACUAGGAUCGAAACGUCUGUAAUUAUAAUUGUGCACUAUGUAAUGUUUGUUCGCUAAUUAUAUUAAUUCCCAGAUAACCAAGGUAGAUUCAGCACAUCGGGCAAAUUAAUGCAUUGCAUGUAUUGUUGUGAAUUUGCAGGCAAUUUGCUGGCUACAGAAUUUAACGUGAAACUGAGUGAGCAACAGGAGAGCAAAAACACAUCAGUUAAUAAAAUGUUAAGAGCAAACGUUUAUUAAUAAUAACAUAUCAUGUUGACAGCAAACUGUCGGCUCGUCAUGAGCUUGCAUUCGUAUAUAUCAUAAUGACAGAAAUAUGUCAGUAAAAUGAUGACACGUAUGAUACCAAAAGUUUAAUACAAGAAGUAGAAUAUUUGGUGAAUAUUGUUAAAGAUUCUAAAUUGCAGCUUAUUAUCGACAAUUUGGUGACAUGACAAUAUUCGGUCCCACCGUGUGUAAGACUCCACACGAACAAGUGAGUGCUGGCGCCACCGCUAGGUGGCCACACCGCAGGGGAUUUCUCAUGAGUCAAGUACGGCCACAGACGUUAUAUCUAAGCGCCACGGUCGACUCCCCAAUUCAUACCAUAGUUUAUAUUUCAGUGAGCCUUUAGGAGCUACAUGUUGUAACAUCAAGACGAAUACUCGCUCUCAUUAUUUUAAAACAUGACCUUGUUGUCAACAAUUUGUUGACAUGACAAUAUUCGGUCCCGCCGUGUGUAAGGCCCCGCGCGAACAAAUGAGUGUCGGCGCCACCGCUAAGCGGCCACGCCAUGGAGGAUUUCUCAUGAGUCAAGUGCGGCCACAGGCGCCACUGCGGCAGACUCACCAGAGCAUACUUCAGUGAGGAGCUGCUUGUUGUAACUUCGAGACGAAUACUCGCUCUCAUUCUUUUAAAACAUAACGUGUGUAUGGAACGCUGUUCCAUAUAAAAUUUUAUAUUUUUACAUGUAAAUAGUUAACUUGUUUUCUUAUCAAAUGUAAAGCAUUUAUAUUUUUGUAAAUGUUGCCAUCAUGUUGCUGUCAUCAUGCUGCAUAUCAUGGAUACCACAUCGUGACAAGUUGUUUUCAUGUUGACAUCAAGAUGCCGUCAAUAUACUGUUAAACGCGGACAGCAAAUUGAUGAUAACAGUUGCCAUCAUGUUGCUAUCAUACGUAUAUUCUUUAAGUAUAAUGAAGUAAUGCCAUCGAGAUGCUAUCAAUUUGCCAUCAUCAAAUUUAAAAUUUAUGUGAGGGCAAGAUUUCACAUAUAGUGAAGAAGCACCUUGUCUCUAGUUUGUUGACAUCAGUUGCUGAAACGGUUAACAGCAAUGUAAUGGCAUUUUAAACUCAUUUGGCUAUCUGGAAUGUGUUUAUUUUUUUUAAAUUGUAAAAAAGUGAUAUAUAAAAAAUUAAAAAGUAGUAUCAAUUUAAAAAUAUAAGAUUUAAAUAAAAACGUCUUAUCCUUGGGGAUCGAACUUGAAUGUAGCAGUCAACGUCUUAUCGCCGAACGCUACGUCAAUGACUUUAUUAUUAUUUUUUAAAUAUUUUUUUUCUCGAGAAUGACUGAAUAUUGCAAUUUACGGCUUUACUGUAGUAAAUGUUUGAGUGAAUACUACAUAUCCAUAAAAUUUUAUUAAAAUUGAUGAUGCCCAAGUAUGGUUUCUCUUUGUAAAUGUAAAAAUAAAAUGCAAAUAUUUUUAAUAGUGAAAUAUAUAUUUUAUCAAUUACACAAUAAAGUAUAUUGAUGAUUUCGCGAUCAAUUCGUUCACAUACUUAUGUUACACAUAUCUUUUCAUCAAUUUGUGUACAAUGGUUUUAAUGUGCAUCAGUGCGUUCAACGCAAAUUUGCUAUAAGUUUAGAAUUAUAAUGAAAUUAUGCAUUAAUUAUCGGAAAUAUUUAAAUACUUAUUUAACAAAUUGAAUUUUUGUCAUUAUAUUUUAAAAUAAUUGUUAAUAAUAAAGUAAAUAAACUAUAAAAAUAUGUUAAUAAAUAAAAAUAUAAUGUUAUUCAAUUUUAUAAAACAAUUCUAUAUAAAAUUUAAAAGUAUCAAUAUUAAUAUAUUUCAAAAUUUAAUUUACUUUGCAGGAACUAGACGGAUAGUACAUCCUUAACUGUAAAGAGGAAUAUUCAAUGUAUAUAUUAAUAUACAUAAAAUAAAUGUAUUAUAAAUAUCA